GAAGACAUUGCCAACGGGAAACUCAGUGUCUCCAUUAAAUGUUGGAAAUAAUUCACCACCCAAAGAAGCAAAUAGUAUUGCUGGCUUCUCCAGCACCCCAUCUGGGAUAGAUAGAUGAGGAAAAAGAGAACUCAGAG